CUUGCUGGAGAUCUCUGCAUACCUGAGGCAUUCUAAAGAUUGCAAAGAGGCUGAGAGAGAAGAAAAGGAAACACGGGGACCUAGUGAUAACGGGUGAUGGACGUGAUGCCGUAUCCUCACCGAGAAUACCAGAGAUUGUAAAGCAUUGAGAAAUCAAACUGACAAGUGGGAACACAGGCUCAGCAUAAGAAACGGCGGCUUGCUCAGAGCUCCUGCAGGCCUGGAGAGCUUUUCGGUUCUCCUCACGAUGGAUUAAGUGGAUGUUGGCGAUAGAUAAUUUUGAACUCCCUCUGCAAUGUGUUCUGGCUUGUCAUAUCCACGGGGAGGCCUGGAGCCAGAGAGACAAGCACCCGGUGUGAUGCUCACAGACGUGAAGCUCCUUGAAAAACGAGAGGGGAAAAGUAGCGUCCAGCAAGGCUGGUGACACCACAGAGCCUUUGGAUACCUGGGCAGCCCAAGGGAUGAGUGGGAGCAGGGCAUGAUACUGGCUGGUUUUGCUGCAGGGGAGAACACUGGCCUUGGUCGAUGAGUAGACCCAAAUUCCAAGCGUUCCCCAAGGAGCCAUGGAGGGUUAACUGCUUCCAGUGCUGGUCAGAGAGUGGGAUUCCUGGCAGGUGAGGGAAGGGGUGAUGCAGCAGGAAACUGCACAGCCACAGCACUCAAAAGAGAACUUCAAACCUCUCAGCAUUAGGCAGGUGUAAUGUUGCAUGUGGGAAAAGCAUCCCAGUAACAACAAAUAUAAAAGUUCAGUCUUCCUUCUUAAUUAUUUUGCAGUUCCACGUGCAAGAAUUGUUUUCAGCCUUUCAUACCUCCCCUUCUCCCUGUAUCACUCUCCCCUGCACAGACUGAGCUGCUUUCCUCUGCCAAUUGCUGCUCCAGAAGCAGCUCGGAAAGGGCAGAGAUGCUCUGCGUGGAGAUCAGAGCUGGAGGCUGCUUUGAAAAUCCCCGGGGCAAAGGAGAGGGGCAGGAAUGUGAUGCCCUGCCUGAGCUGCCAUAAAAUUGGCCAAGAAAUCUUAACGGCUUUGAUGAAAAAUGCCUUCCUUUGCUUUUGACACUUCUGUCUAAACAGUGUUAGGAGUCGGACUGAUAUCACAGCUUCCACCUGCAGCAGCAGCAGGAAUAAACAUGCCUGGAUAGAUAUUGUGUCCUCACCGAGCUGGGAGCGAUGAUACGGUACGUGGAAGUUUUAAUUUAUGGGUUCAAAGGCUGCAGAUGCUGGAAAAUGUCUAUAACCCGAAUGAGAAAUAAAGAUUAUGAUGUGAAAGCCCCAUCAGUGUAAGUGGCCAGAGCCCAUGCAGGCACACUUGUGAGCUCCGAGUGCUCGGCACAAGCCACUAAAUAUUCCUGUGCCAGGAAGCCAGGUUUGCAGUAAAAGCAAACACAUUUACAGAAAGCCAUGUAGAGGCACAUCCAUAUACAUACACACAACUUCUCAUCAAAACCCUCAGGAUUUCAAAGCAGUAACAGCACUUAGUUUUGGCUGUUUGUACAUAUGUGAUGAGAGUCCUUCUGGUUUUAGCUGUUUUCUGCCAAUUUUCUCCAAUAUUUGUCAGACAUUGGUUCAAACCCUGUAAGAGUUGGGGAGAAAUGUUGAAGUACCUUUGAAUUUUGAUGAAUGUGAUUUUCACGUGGGAUGCAUAAUGAUCCAAUCCGUGGCGCUGCCACCCAGUCACAUCCAGGUCAGCCUGAGAUACUGAUCUCCAAUGAACCCCCGAGCAUUGGGGGGAUCCAGAAAGCUGAAAGGAAAUGAAUAUUGUGCCAAUGAAUGGGAAGGAUAAACAAUAUGACCUGUGUCAUUACAGCCCUGACAGCCCAACUUUGAUUCUCGGAAAAUAAUGAGAUGUCUGCUGUGGGACUUGUUAAGUAAGGAAUUAAAGGGAAUAACACAAAGGAUGCCAAUCAAGGGGGACUUAUGGAAAAAAAAAAAAUCUUGUUAAAAUAUGUUGGUGUCUUUUUUGUGAGGUUAUACAUUUGGCUGAUACAGGUGAUGCUGUUGUUGUGAUACACUCAGGCUGGGUCCUGUGUGAUAUCUUGACUAAGAGACUGGGAUGGAAGGAGGUCAGCAGGGCGCACACAGGCAAUGCAGAGCCGGCCACGUGGCACGUCCCAGAAUGUGCCUCUGGGCAGGGGGUCCUCUCAGUGUGUGCUGGAUCACCUUUAUUUGGCAUUUUUAUCAAUGACCUGCAAGAAAGCAUCACAUCAGCCC
ensembl:lncRNA